rnacentral:rRNA from 1 species
AUGAAGCUUUCUGCUUUCUUUUCUGGGAAACAAAAUGGAAUACAGUAUCAGGGCAAUCAAAAUGAUGAAAACAAAGACCUUGAGUUCCAAACUUCUUCUGCUCAGGAGGGAUCACGUGACCAAACUGAGUCUUGUGAACAGGAAGGGCCAUUACUGAAUGUGGAGGUAGCAGAAGACUCACUAUCCUCAGAUGAACAUAGAGUUCCAUUAAUGAAUGUGGAAGUAGCAGAGGACUCACUAUCCUCAGAUGAACAUGGUGUUCCAUUGAUGAAUGUGGAGGUAGCAGAUGACUCACUAUCCUCAGAUGAACAUGGAGUUUUAACAUUUGAAGAAUGAGAUGAUGAAGAUUUUGCAGUGGAUGAGGAUGAUAAUGCCUGUAAAAUAGCAUUUUCAGAAAGUAUGGAUAAUGGCAUGGAUCCUGAACUUCAUGUGGCUCAGUCUCCUGAUGCUACUUCAAGGUGUUCAGAUGUAUGCGGUACAGGCUCUGUGGGCAGCCAUUUGUCAAUUGGUUCAUUGGAGAAAGAUACAGCUAAAUCUUCUAGCCGGUCACAUUCAACCCUGACAGAUCCUAAUUUUGUAUAGAAUUAUUUCAAGCAUUCUCGACUGCAUUUCAUUGGGACUUGGCGAAAUCGCUACCGCAAGCGCUUCUCAAAUUUGCCUGGAGCUAAAAGCAGUAAGGGCAACAAUGAUCAUUCAGGGAAGAAGAAAACAAUCAUUCAUAUUGAUAUGGACUGCUUUUUUGUAUCCGUCAUCAUCAGAAAUAGGCCAGAGCUGCACGAUAAGCCGGUAGCAGUUUGUCAUUCCGACAAUCCUAAAGGAACUGCAGAAAUCUCAUCUGCAAACUACCCUGCACGAAACUAUGGGAUAAAGGCUGGCAUGUUCGUUAGAGAUGCCAAAGCUCGGUGCCCUCACCUAACGGUUGUUCCUUAUAACUUCGAUGCAUACGGGGAGGUUGCGGAUCAGUUCUAUGGUAUUUUGCAUAAAUAUUGCACUAAGGUUCAGGCUUUGAGUUGUGAUGAAGCUUUUUUGGACAUGACGGAAUGCUUACACGAUAAUCCAGAGGAAGUUACAGAAAGAAUGAGAAAUGAGAUUUUUGGUACAACAAAGUGCACUGCCAGUGCAGGUAUUGCUGAAAACAGGCUCCUAGCCCGAUUAGCCACCAGAUCCGCAAAGCCGAACGGACAGUUAUUUAUUUCAUCUGAGAAGGUUGAUGAUUAUUUGAGUACCCUCCCUAUCAAAGCACUUCCAGGCAUUGGUUAUACUGUUUCUGAUAAACUGAAAAGCAAAGAAGUUGAACACUGUGGUCAGCUUCGCAACAUUUCAAAGGAUGCUCUCCAUAAGGACUUCGGAAAAAAGAUCAGUAACAUGCUAUGGAACUAUUGCAGAGGAAUUGAUCAUUCAGUUGUUGAAGCUGUUCAGGUAGAAGCAUCCUAG